UACGUAGGGGGCAAGCGUUGUCCGGAUUUAUUGGGCGUAAAGAGCGUGUAGGCGGCCAGACAGGUCCGUUGUGAAAACUAGAGGCUUAACCUCUAGACGUCGAUGGAAACCGUCUGGCUAGAGUCCGGAAGAGGAGAAUGGAAUUCCUGGUGUAGCGGUGAAAUGCGCAGAUAUCAGGAAGAACACCCGUGGCUAAGGCGGUUCUCUAGUACGGUACUGACGCUG
rnacentral:rRNA from 1 species